GACGAACGCUGGCGGCGUGCCUAAUACAUGCAAGUUGAGCGCUGAAGGUUGGUACUUGUACCAACUGGAUGAGCAGCGAACGGGUGAGUAACGCGUGGGGAAUCUGCCUUUGAGCGGGGGACAACAUUUGGAAACGAAUGCUAAUACCGCAUAAAAACUUUAAACACAAGUUUUAAGUUUGAAAGAUGCAAUUGCAUCACUCAAAGAUGAUCCCGCGUUGUAUUAGCUAGUUGGUGAGGUAAAGGCUCGCCAAGGCGAUGAUACAUAGCCGACCUGAGAGGGUGAUCGGCCAAAUUGGGACUGAGACACGGCCCAAACUCCUACGGGAGGCAGCAGUAGGGAAUCUUCGGCAAUGGACGAAAGUCUGACCGAGCAACGCCGCGUGAGUGAAGAAGGUUUUCGGAUCGUAAAACUCUGUUGGUAGAGAAGAACGUUGGUGAGAGUGGAAAGCUCAUCAAGUGACGGUAACUACCCAGAAAGGGACGGCUAACUACGUG
rnacentral:rRNA from 1 species